UUGGGAUCCGGAAGUUUGUCAGUUUUCUUUUCCACUAGAGGGAGCCUGUGACCUUCCUCCUGAGGGCGUGGGCCGGCGCCUGCACACCGGUUYCCCAUCAAACCAUUUGGAGGCGUAUAAGUGGAGGAGGAUGCUGACACUUCUCCGCCAGAGUGUUAGCCAGUAAUGCUGCCCUGGUCCUGAGUUAUCAGGUCAACAACCAGUCCUUGAUACGGAACCUCCGACCUGUCCGUCCUCUGCUGCCGCCGCUGACCUCAGCCUUCAACCCGAAACCCCUGACCAGCCUCCGACUCUCUAGGUCCUCCCCCGGUUCCAAAACUCUCCCCAAGCAGGUACAGUCACCAACCUCCGCCCAAACAGCAAGAUUUCCUGGAUCCAGACUAACCAUCUCUGUCCCCCCCUAGUUGCCUCGAGACCUGCCAGACGAACCUAGGAUCAGAUUUCACAUUUGUUCGCAUUCACUGUAAAUAAAUCACAUCAUUGUA